AUAUCAAUAAGCGGAGGAAAAGAAACUAACAAGGAUUCCCCUAGUAACUGCGAGUGAAGCGGGAAAAGCUCAAUAUUGUAAUCCGUCGCCCGACGGAGUUGUAGACUAGAGGCGUUUUCGGCCGCUGACUUGGAAAAGUCCCUUGGAACAGGGCGUCAUAGAGGGUGAUAAUCCCGUCUUUGCCAAGAAGCCAGCGUCUAUGUGAUACGUUCUCGAGGAGUCGAGUUGUUUGGGAAUGCAGCUCAAAAGGGGUGGUAAAUUCCAUCCAAAGCUAAAUAUUGGCGAGAGACCGAU
rnacentral:rRNA from 1 species